rnacentral:rRNA from 1 species
UACGGGGGGGGCAAGCGUUGUUCGGAAUUACUGGGCGUAAAGAGCGCGCAGGCGGUCGUUCAAGUCGCGUGUGAAAGCCCCCGGCUCAACUGGGGAGGGUCACGCGAUACUGAUCGACUCGAAGGCAGGAGAGGGUAGUGGAAUUCCCGGUGUAGUGGUGAAAUGCGUAGAUAUCGAGAGGAACACCUGCGGCGAAGGCGGGUUGCUGGGCUGAUACUGACGCUGAGGCGCGAAAGCCAGGGGAGCGAACGGG